rnacentral:rRNA from 1 species
AAAUUGAAGAGUUUGAUCAUGGCUCAGAUUGAACGCUGGCGGCAGGCCUAACACAUGCAAGUCGAACGGUAACAGGAAGCAGCUUGCUGCUUCGCUGACGAGUGGCGGACGGGUGAGUAAUGUCUGGGAAACUGCCUGAUGGAGGGGGAUAACUACUGGAAACGGUGGCUAAUACCGCAUAACGUCGCAAGACCAAAGAGGGGGACCUUCGGGCCUCUUGCCAUCAGAUGUGCCCAGAUGGGAUUAGCUAGUUGGUGAGGUAACGGCUCACCAAGGCGACGAUCCCUAGCUGGUCUGAGAGGAUGACCAGCCACACUGGAACUGAGACACGGUCCAGACUCCUACGGGAGGCAGCAGUGGGGAAUAUUGCACAAUGGGCGCAAGCCUGAUGCAGCCAUGCCGCGUGUAUGAAGAAGGCCUUCGGGUUGUAAAGUACUUUCAGCGGGGAGGAAGGUGUUGUGGUUAAUAACCACAGCAAUUGACGUUACCCGCAGAAGAAGCACCGGCUAACUCCGUGCCAGCAGCCGCGGUAAUACGGAGGGUGCAAGCGUUAAUCGGAAUUACUGGGCGUAAAGCGCACGCAGGCGGUCUGUCAAGUCGGAUGUGAAAUCCCCGGGCUCAACCUGGGAACUGCAUUCGAAACUGGCAGGCUUGAGUCUUGUA